CAGGCUUAACACAUGCAAGUCGAGGGGCAGCAUUUUAGUUUGCUUGCAAACUGAAGAUGGCGACCGGCGCACGGGUGAGUAACACGUAUCCAACCUGCCGAUAACUCCGGGAUAGCCUUUCGAAAGAAAGAUUAAUACCGGAUAGCAUACGAAUAUCGCAUGAUAUUUUUAUUAAAGAAUUUCGGUUAUCGAUGGGGAUGCGUUCCAUUAGUUUGUUGGCGGGGUAACGGCCCACCAAGACUACGAUGGAUAGGGGUUCUGAGAGGAAGGUCCCCCACAUUGGAACUGAGACACGGUCCAAACUCCUACGGGAGGCAGCAGUGAGGAAUAUUGGUCAAUGGGCGCGAGCCUGAACCAGUCAAGUAGCGUGAAGGAUGAAGGCUCUAUGGGUCGUAAACUUCUUUUAUAUGGGAAUAAAGUUUUCCACGUGUGGAAUUUUGUAUGUACCAUAUGAAUAAGGAUCGGCUAACUCCGUGCCAGCAGCCGCGGUAAUACGGAGGAUCCGAGCGUUAUCCGGAUUUAUUGGGUUUAAAGGGAGCGUAGGUGGAUUGUUAAGUCAGUUGUGAAAGUUUGCGGCUCAACCGUAAAAUUGCAGUUGAAACUGGCAGUCUUGAGUACAGUAGAGGUGGGCGGAAUUCGUGGUGUAGCGGUGAAAUGCUUAGAUAUCACGAAGAACUCCGAUUGCGAAGGCAGCUCACUAGACUGUCACUGACACUGAUGCUCGAAAGUGUGGGUAUCAAACAGGAUUAGAUACCCUGGUAGUCCACACAGUAAACGAUGAAUACUCGCUGUUUGCGAUAUACAGUAAGCGGCCAAGCGAAAGCAUUAAGUAUUCCACCUGGGGAGUACGCCGGCAACGGUGAAACUCAAAGGAAUUGACGGGGGCCCGCACAAGCGGAGGAACAUGUGGUUUAAUUCGAUGAUACGCGAGGAACCUUACCCGGGCUUAAAUUGCAACAGAAUAUAUUGGAAACAGUAUAGCCGUAAGGCUGUUGUGAAGGUGCUGCAUGGUUGUCGUCAGCUCGUGCCGUGAGGUGUCGGCUUAAGUGCCAUAACGAGCGCAACCCUUAUCUUUAGUUACUAACAGGUCAUGCUGAGGACUCUAGAGAGACUGCCGUCGUAAGAUGUGAGGAAGGUGGGGAUGACGUCAAAUCAGCACGGCCCUUACGUCCGGGGCUACACACGUGUUACAAUGGGGGGUACAGAAGGCGGCUACCUGGUGACAGGAUGCUAAUCCCAAAAACCUCUCUCAGUUCGGAUCGAAGUCUGCAACCCGACUUCGUGAAGCUGGAUUCGCUAGUAAUCGCGCAUCAGCCAUGGCGCGGUGAAUACGUUCCCGGGCCUUGUACACACCGCCCGUCAAGCCAUGAAAGCCGGGGGUACCUGAAGUACGUAACCGAAAGGAGCGUCCUAGGGUAAAACUGGUAAUUGGGGCUAAGU
rnacentral:rRNA from 1 species